rnacentral:rRNA from 1 species
UGGGGAAUAUUGCACAAUGGGGGAAACCCUGAUGCAGCGACGCCGCGUGAGCGAUGAAGGCUUUCGAGUCGUAAAGCUCUGUCCUAUGGGAAGAUAAUGACGGUACCAUAGAAGAAAGCCCCGGCUAAUUACGUGCCAGCAGCCGCGGUAAUACGUAAGGGGCGAGCGUUGUCCGGAAUUAUUGGGCGUAAAGAGUGCGUAGGCGGCAAAAUAAGUCAGAUGUGAAAACUAAGGGCUCAACCCAUAGAUUGCAUCUGAAACUGAUAUGCUUGAGUCAAGGAGAGGAAAGUGGAAUUCCUAGUGUAGCGGUGGAAUGCGUAGAUAUUAGGGGGAAUACCGGUGGAGAAGGCGGCUUUCUGGACUUGAACUGACGCUGAGGCACGAAAGCGUGGGGAGCAAACAGG